rnacentral:rRNA from 1 species
GAGUUUGAUCUUGGCUCAGAUUGAACGCUGGCGGCAUGCCUUACACAUGCAAGUCGAACGGCAGCAUGAUCUAGCUUGCUAGAUUGAUGGCGAGUGGCGAACGGGUGAGUAAUACAUCGGAACGUGCCCUGUAGUGGGGGAUAACUAGUCGAAAGAUUAGCUAAUACCGCAUACGACCUGAGGGUGAAAGUGGGGGACCGCAAGGCCUCAUGCUAUAGGAGCGGCCGAUGUCUGAUUAGCUAGUUGGUGGGGUAAAGGCCCACCAAGGCGACGAUCAGUAGCUGGUCUGAGAGGACGAUCAGCCACACUGGGACUGAGACACGGCCCAGACUCCUACGGGAGGCAGCAGUGGGGAAUUUGGACAAUGGGCGAAAGCCUGAUCCAGCAAUGCCGCGUGUGUGAAGAAGGCCU